GCCGCUGUGGUGAAACUGGCAGACGCAACAGACUCAAAAUCUGUCGAGGGUGACCUCGUGUCGGUUCGACUCCGACCAGCGGCACCA
rnacentral:tRNA from 1 species